UGUGUGUGUGUGUGUGUGCGUGUGUGUGUGUGUGUGUGUGUGCGUGUGCGUGUGUGGUCCAACAGGGGGAACCGGGGGUCAAUAACAGAAUUAGAGGACCCAAAGGAGAGCGCGGAAACCCAGGUUUGCCGGGUUCCCCAGGACGGGACGGGGAGCCGGGUACUAAAGGAGGCUCUGGAAACCCGGGUCCAGAUGGAAGAAGAGGCUCCGGGGGAGAGAAGGUAAGAGAG